CAUCGCCUUUUGAGUAUAAUUGAAGGUCUGGCCUGCCCUAUGAGGAGUUAAAUGGCUGCGAUAAUUUGAUCGUGCAAAGGUAGCAUAAUCAUUAGUUUUUUAAUUGGGAACUGGAAUGAAAGGUCGGAUGAGAAAAAGACUGUCUCAAUUUAAAUUUAAUUAGAAUUUUAUUUUUAAGUAAGAAAGCUUAAAUGAUUUAAAAAGACGAGAAGACCCUAUAGAAUUUUAUACACUAAUUUUUAUUUGAAAGUUAAAGUAUUUUAGAUUUGAAUAUAAGUUAUUGUAUUUGGUUGGGGCGAUUGGAAAAUUAAAUAAACUUUUUUUUAAUUUUUACAUUGAUAUAUGAAUAAUUGAUCCAUAGUUUAUGAUUAUAAGAUUAAAUUACCUUAGGGAUAACAGCGUAAUUUUUUUUAGAGUACUAAUCGAAAAAAAAGUUUGCGACC
rnacentral:rRNA from 1 species